rnacentral:lncRNA from 1 species
GUUAAAUGUAUCCAUAAUAUUACUAGUAAAGAAUUUCAAAAUUUACAAGAUUUAGAAAAUAAUAUGACUGAGAACCCUCUAUCUUCUCCGAUUAUGUGAUAAACCCUUGUAUAUUCCUUUUUGUGCGAAAUUUGGUCUUUUACUCACUCGAAUGUGAUGAACAGGCCUAAAGUCAUUACUAUUCCCAAUUUUGAGCCUUUUCUUUGGGUGGAUAGAAUCAUUAAGAACCUGCACUUGCAUUCGAUGACUCUUUGGCCUCAAAGAUUUUCUCAUAUUCUCUUUCCUAUGCUCCCUAAUCGAUCUUCUUCUUCUUCUCCC